GCAGAGGAUGACCAGGUGACUGUUGUCACCAGAGACCACCAGCUGACCAUGUGGCUGGAACUGAGGGUUUUCAAACUUUUGGAUGCUGAGUCGAGCAGUUCCCAGUCUGGCAACAUGAACAGCCUUGUUGGGUAAAUCUUAAGCCACA